rnacentral:rRNA from 1 species
AUUGAACGCUGGCGGCAGGCCUAACACAUGCAAGUCGAACGAGUGGCGGACGGGUGAGUAAUGUCUGGGAAACUGCCCGAUGGAGGGGGAUAACUACUGGAAACGGUAGCUAAUACCGCAUACCAUCGGAUGUGCCCAGCUGGGAUUAGCUAGUAGGUGGGGUAACGGUUCACCUAGGCGACGAUCCCUAGCUGUUCUGAGAGGAUGACAAGCCACACGUGAACGUAGACACGGUCCAGACUCCUACGGGAGGCAGCAGUGGGGAAUAUUGCACAAUGGGCGCAAGCCUGAUGCAGCCAUGCGGCGUGUAUGAAGAAGGCCUUCGGGUUGUAAAGUACUUUCAGCGGGGAGGCGUUACUCGCAGAAGAAGCACCGGCUAACUCCGUGCCAGCAGCCGCGGUAAUUC